rnacentral:lncRNA from 1 species
CGUCCGGACUUCAUCCCCGAUCUCGACUGCUGGAACGCUUCGCCCAGACUCCUACGGGAGCUGGGCUUCAUCCUCGACCCCGGCUGCUGGUAAACUUCAUCCGGACUCCUAAGGGAGCCGGACUUCGCCCCUGACUUUGAUUGCAGGUGGACUUCUCCCGGGCUCCUACGGGAGCCAGAUCUCAUCUCCGACUCCAGCUGCGGGAAGACUCCACCCGGACUCUUACGAGAGCCGGACCUCGUUCCCGACUCCGGCUGCAGGCGGACUUCGCCCGGACUCCUACGAGAGCCAGGCUCCGCCCACGACUUCACUUACAGGUAAACUUCGUUCGGACUCCUACAGGAACUGGACUUCACCCACAACUCCAAUUGCAGGAAGACUCAGCCCGGACUCCUAUGGGAGCCGGAUCUCAUCUCUGACUCCGACCGAAGGAAGACUCCGUCCGGACUUCGUCCCCGAUCUCGACUACUGGAAGGCUUCACUCGGGCUCCGUCCUCGACCCCGACUGCUGGUAAACUUCGUCCGGACUCCUAAGGGAGCCGGACUUCACCCCUGAUUUUGAUUGCAGGUAGACUUCGCCCGGGCUCCUAUGGGAGCCAGAUCUCGUCUCCGACUCCAGCUGCGGGAAGACUCCGUCCGGACUCCCGCGGGAGCCGGAC